rnacentral:lncRNA from 1 species
UAGAAAGAAUGAAAAACUAUGCUGCUGAUGCUGUCAGCUUCCCAGAAUCCUCUCCCAAGUUAAUUCAAUUAGGCAUGCUCACUCUCUGUCACCCAGGCUGGAGUGCAGUGGUGCAAGAUCAUAACUCAUUGCAGCCUCGAACUCCUGGACUCAGGCAAUCCUCCUGCCUCAGCUUCCUGUGUGCAUGAGUCUUCAAUCACCUGCCCAGAAGAGACAUGUAUCACUUCCGCUCACAUUGCAUUGACUAAAGUAAGUCACAUGACCACACCUAAGUUCCAGGUGGUGAG